rnacentral:rRNA from 1 species
CCUACGGGAGGCAGCAGUGGGGAAUAUUGGGCAAUGGAGGAAACUCUGACCCAGCGACGCCGCGUGCGGGAUGAAGGCCUUCGGGUUGUAAACCGCUUUCAGCAGGGAAGAAGCGAAAGUGACGGUACCUGCAGAAGAAGCACCGGCUAACUAUGUGCCAGCAGCCGCGGUAAUACAUAGGGUGCAAGCGUUGUCCGGAAUUAUUGGGCGUAAAGAGCUCGUAGGUGGUUCGUCACGUCGGAUGUGAAAAUCUGGGGCUUAACCCCAGACCUGCAUUCGAUACGGGCGAGCUUGAGUAUGGUAGGGGAGUCUGGAAUUCCUGGUGUAGCGGUGGAAUGCGCAGAUAUCAGGAGGAACACCAAUGGCGAAGGCAGGACUCUGGGCCAUUACUGACACUGAGGAGCGAAAGCGUGGGGAGCGAACAGGAUUAGAUACCCUGGUAGUCCACGCCGUAAACGGUGGGCACUAGUUGUGGGGACCUUCCACGGUCUCUGCGACGCAGCUAACGCAUUAAGUGCCCCGCCUGGGGAGUACGAUCGCAAGAUUAAAACUCAAAGGGAAAUUGACGGG